rnacentral:rRNA from 1 species
AGAGUUUGAUUCUGGCUCAGAACGAACGCUGGCGGCGUGGAUAAGACAUGCAAGUUGAGCGAUGAACUGACGAUAGCAAUAUCUGACGGGAUUAGCAGCGAACGGGUGAGUAACACGUAGGAAUCUGCCCCAAAGUUCGGAAUAGCCUGGCGAAAGUCAGGGUAAUACCGGAUGUGAUCUUCGGAUUAAAGGCUUCGGUCGCUUUGGGAUGAGCCUGCGUUCCAUCAGCUUGUUGGUAGGGUAAAAGCCUACCAAGGCGAAGACGGAUAGCUGGUCUGAGAGGACGGUCAGCCACAAUGGAACUGAGACACGGUCCAUACACCUACGGGUGGCAGCAGUCGAGAAUCAUUCGCAAUGGACGAAAGUCUGACGGUGCGACGCCGCGUGGGGGAUGAAGGCCUUAGGGUCGUAAACCCCUGUCGGGUGCGAGUAAGGUCCUACUUACGUAGGAAUUGAUAUUAGCAUCAAAGGAAGGGACGGCUAACUCCGUGCCAGCAGCCGCGGUAAUACGGAGGUCCCAAGCGUUGUUCGGAUUCACUGGGCGUAAAGCGUGCGUAGGCGGAGAAAUAAGUUUGGCGUGAAAGCCCCGGGCCCAACCCGGAAAUUGCGUUGAAAACUAUUUCCCUAGAGGAUUGGAGGGGAGACUGGAAUUCCUGGUGUAGCAGUGAAAUGCGUAGAUAUCAGGAGGAACACCGGUGGCGAAGGCGAGUCUCUGGACAAUUCCUGACGCUGAGGUACGAAGGCUAGGGUAGCGAAAAGGAUUAGAUACCCUUGUAGUCCUAGCAGUAAACGGUGUGCACUUGCUGUAGGCGGAUUCGACCCCGCCUGUGGCGAAGCUAACGCGUUAAGUGCACCGCCUGGGGAGUACGGUCGCAAGAUUAAAACUCAAAGAAAUUGA